GAUGAACGCUGGCGGCGUGCCUAAUACAUGCAAGUCGAGCGAACAGAUGAGGAGCUUGCUCCUCUGACGUUAGCGGCGGACGGGUGAGUAACACGUGGAUAACCUACCUAUAAGACUGGGAUAACUUCGGGAAACCGGAGCUAAUACCGGAUAAUAUAUUGAACCGCAUGGUUCAAUAGUGAAAGACGGUUUUGCUGUCACUUAUAGAUGGAUCCGCGCCGCAUUAGCUAGUUGGUAAGGUAACGGCUUACCAAGGCAACGAUGCGUAGCCGACCUGAGAGGGUGAUCGGCCACACUGGCUCUGAGACACGGUCCAGACUCCUACGGGAGGCAGCAGUAGGGAAUCUUCCGCAAUGGGCGAGAGCCUGACGUAGCAACGCCGCGUGAGUGAUGAAGGUCUUCGGAUCGUAAAACUCUGUUAUUAGGGAAGAACAAAUGUGUAAGUAACUAUGCACGUCUUGACGGUACCUAAUGAGAAAGCCACGGCUAACUACGUG
rnacentral:rRNA from 1 species